GUAGCGGUCACCGCAAGGUCGCUGUCGUACCGACAGUCCGUUUUUCGCGGCUCGCUCCUGGCGAGUCGCAACCGGCGAAGCCGGUAUUUGCCAACCCGCCGAUGAAGAUCAUCGGC
rfam:Pseudomonas balearica DSM 6083 genome assembly, contig: Ga0056079_115